UUUUUUUUAACAUUACAGCAUGUAAACAUGUUCUAGUAGAAACACAAAAUACAAGUAUGAACCUGAAAAUGAGCACGAUAUGGGACCUUUAAAACAAAGGAUCAUUAUUGUAUUGAUUAAUCUAUGAAAAUGUACAUAUUCCCAAAAAAAUGGCAGUAAUUCAGAAUCUGGGAGGCUUUAUUAAUUGUAUAAAAUAAAGGUCGCAUUCCCCAGUCUCCUUCACAAAUUAGAGGAAAAGUAGUGCAUCUCACCCAGUAGAUGGAGGUAAUGUGCACAGAGUGGAAACUGUCAAUAAACCGGAAGAAGAAGAAGAAAAGACCUGGAAGUUAGAUGAAGGCUGCUGCAGAAGUGGAGCAGUAUGCAUGCUCGAGGUCCUCAGGAAAAUGUUACAUAGGAACGUUUAUAUUCUUCUUACAAGUGUUAAAGUGCACGUUUUGUGCAUAUUAAUUUUAAGCAUUUGUGCAUAUUAAUAUUUUGAGCAUGAUUUUUAAACGAGGUUUGGUUCAGUAAUAGCAUUUCACUGCACGUGGGCGUCCAUGUCUGAUAAUUUGAUCAACUGAAGAACAGGAGUUCCAGUGAAAUCUGCAGUGUGGACCUGACAUGCAUGGUCAACCUGCUGAAGUGAAAGUGAGUCCAGGGGCAUCUACCAAAAGCACUUGACUGUUGUUGUUGUUUUUUUAUUUGAAGUUACUCAUUACCAAAUAAAUACAAAUUGUGACAUAAA